UGGGGAAUUUUGGACAAUGGGGGCAACCCUGAUCCAGCAAUGCCGCGUGUGUGAAGAAGGCCUUCGGGUUGUAAAGCACUUUUGUCCGGAAAGAAAACGCCGUGGUUAAUACCCGUGGCGGAUGACGGUACCGGAAGAAUAAGCACCGGCUAACUACGUGCCAGCAGCCGCGGUAAUACGUAGGGUGCAAGCGUUAAUCGGAAUUACUGGGCGUAAAGCAUGCGCAGGCGGUCCGCUAAGACAGAUGUGAAAUCCCCGGGCUUAACCUGGGAACUGCAUUUGUGACCGGCGGGCUAGAGUAUGGCAGAGGGGGGUAGAAUUCCACGUGUAGCAGUGAAAUGCGUAGAGAUGUGGAGGAAUACCGAUGGCGAAGGGCAGCCCCCUGGGCCAAUACUGACGCUCAUGCACGAAAGCGUGGGGAGCAAACAGGAUUCAGAUACCCUGGUAGUCCACGCCCUAAACGAUGUCAACUAGUUGUCGGUCUUCAUUGACUUGGUAACGUAGCUACGCGUGAAGUUGACCGCCUGGGAGUACGGUCGCAAGAUUAAAA
rnacentral:rRNA from 1 species